CCGUCUUCUUCUUCACGGCGUGUCUUCCGGCACGACAGUGCACCCAAUCCCCUCCACUUCUCCCUGUCUCUCUCCGUCUCGCCUUCCUCCUCCAAUGCCCCAGUCUACGCGGGCGACCCCGACGGCACGCGCGAAAUGCGAACGGACCCCGGCUCACCAAACACUGCUUCUCUGGGUUCAUGGCGCCGUCGUCCAGGGAUGAGGACGUGGCACUCGGCGGAAGCCCGGCGUCAUCUCCGUGUUCGCCGACCUGAGAUGCACAUGCACACCACCAGUUCCUGCGACUUCCUGCAGCAGACGACAGCCGUCAAGAUCCAAGACUCCGCUGCCGCUGGUCCCGCUAGAUGUAGCAGCAGCAAAAAAAGGUAAGGCCGCCG
rnacentral:lncRNA from 1 species